AGUGAACGCUGGCGGUAGGCCUAACACAUGCAAGUCGAACGGCAGCACAGUAAGAGCUUGCUCUUACGGGUGGCGAGUGGCGGACGGGUGAGGAAUACAUCGGAAUCUACUUUUUCGUGGGGGAUAACGUAGGGAAACUUACGCUAAUACCGCAUACGACCUACGGGUGAAAGCAGGGGAUCUUCGGACCUUGCGCGAUUGAAUGAGCCGAUGUCGGAUUAGCUAGUUGGCGGGGUAAGGGCCCACCAAGGCGACGAUCCGUAGCUGGUCUGAGAGGAUGAUCAGCCACACUGGAACUGAGACACGGUCCAGACUCCUACGGGAGGCAGCAGUGGGGAAUAUUGGACAAUGGGCGCAAGCCUGAUCCAGCUAUACCGCGUGGGUGAAGAAGGCCUUCGGGUUGUAAAGCCCUUUUGUUGGGAAAGAAAAGCAGCAGGUUAAUACCCCGCUGUUCUGACGGUACCCAAAGAAUAAGCACCGGCUAACUUCGUG
rnacentral:rRNA from 1 species